UACGUAGGUGGCAAGCGUUGUCCGGAUUUAUUGGGUUUAAAGGGUGCGUAGGCGGUUCUAUAAGUCAGUGGUGAAAUCCGGCAGCUCAACUGUCGAUGUGCCAUUGAUACUGCAGAACUUGAGUACAGACGAGGUAGGCGGAAUUGACGGUGUAGCGGUGAAAUGCUUAGAUAUCGUCAAGAACACCGAUAGCGAAGGCAGCUUACUAGACUGUAACUGACGCUAAUGCACGAAAGUGUGGGGAUCAAACAGG
rnacentral:rRNA from 1 species